rnacentral:rRNA from 1 species
UACGGGGGGGGCAAGCGUUGUUCGGAAUUACUGGGCGUAAAGGGCUCGUAGGUGGCCAACUAAGUCAGACGUGAAAUCCCUCGGCUUAACCGGGGAACUGCGUCUGAUACUGGAUGGCUUGAGUUCGGGAGAGGGAUGCGGAAUUCCAGGUGUAGCGGUGAAAUGCGCAGAUAUCAGGAAGAACACCUAUGGCGAAGGCAGCUCGCUGGGACGUAACUGACGCUGAGACGCGAAAGCGUGGGGAGCAAACAGG